UUGUUCUCAAACGCUGACCUUUGCUUUUUUCACUAGUUUCCCUUUUAGAGUACUCUCCGAUCGCACAUCACCCUUUUUGCUUCUUUCACUCUCCGAUCUCAAGCCCUCACCUCCGUCUGUCACUCUCACUCCCCACAGGUAAGUUUGGUUUUUUUAGAUUAGUUCCUAACUUUCUCCAAUUUUUUGUUUCUCACAGGCUUUCUCUUCUUCAACGCCAAGAACACUCCGCCCUCCGAUCCCAACGUCCCUUACCGCCACCGUCCAAACCACAAAUUAUCAGAUCGGACGGUCCGUGUGAAGUAUCAGCGCCUCCAGAUCCACCGGUGAAGGUUGCGGUGAGAAUUAGGCCUGUUAAUCAGGCGGAUCAGAAAUUUAGGUUUGAUUUUGAUUUGGCUGCAUAUGUGUGGGUAAGCUCUUAUGGGUGUGAGAGGUUGAUUUUGACUUUGUGACACUGACGGUAGAUUUGAUUUUGAUUUGGCUAGAUAUGUGUGAGUAAGCUCUAAGUUGGAUUUAUGCCGCUAAUUUUUGAGAUUUUUAUUUUGAUAUUGAUUAUGUGGACCUGUUAGGAGUAUUAUGGAAAAGAAACAUUUAUAGCUUUUUGUCCACCAUUAAGCUUCAUGAUAUUCAACAAAGAGUUCAUCCAAGAAAAAAUGAUACGCAAUAAAGACAUCUGAAGAGACUAUAGUUUACAUUUAAUAUUUUUUUUUAUCUUUUUAUUGACUUAUAUUAUAGGGUGGAUCGCCCGGAAAUUUGUUUAACAUAUUGUGAUGGAUAUGUCCCCCACCGUUUUUGAUUUCGAGAUUUGCUACGCGAGGGAAGCUCUUGCAGUCUUCGUCAAAGAUCAGAAUAUUAAGAGGAGAUUUCAACUUGAUCAGAGGAAGCUUGUGGGGUUUGAGACUCAACCAAGGAUGGCGAGUGCAACGAAGACACGACAAUGUCAAAAAUAGGCUUGUGGAGUUUGAAUUAGCAACGCCAGACUGGGCAAUGUCAGCAAGGAGGUUAGAGUUAGAGGCGGCGACAAGGACCAACUUGGUGAUGGCGGCACCAAGAAGGCUAGGUUAGGGAUUUGAGUGAGAGAUUAGAGAAAGUGAGAGAGAGAAAUUAGAGAAAGUGAGAAAAUUUUCAAGGUGCAAAGUAUAACAAAGACCAUAGAUUAGAGUGCAAAACGUGCAUUCAAAAAGUUUAGAAUGUAAAGAGUAAUUCAGGGUAUAGUUUAGGGGGGUAAAAUGUAAUUUUUCCUAUUAUUUGUAAUAUUAAAAUACUCUUGCGGAAAUAAACUAAAAUAA